rnacentral:rRNA from 1 species
GAAAGAUUAUCCCGUAGAUAGGCUGCGCCCAAUCACUUGUUGGUGAGUAAUGGCCCACCAAGNCUAUAACAGGUACGGGCUCUGAGAGGAGGGGCCCGGAGAUGGGUACUGAGACACGGACCCAGGCCCUAUGGGGCGCAGCAGGCGAGAAACCUUUGCAAUGUGCGAAAGCACGACAAGGUUAAUCCGAGUGUCUCCUGCUAAAGGAGUCUUUUGUCAGUUGUAGAAUCACUGGUGAAUAAGGGGUGGGCAAGUUCUGGUGUCAGCCGCCGCGGUAAAACCAGCACCUCGAGUGGUCAGGAGGUUUAUUGGGCCUAAAGCAUCCGUAGCCGGUUGCAUAAGUUUUCGGUUAAAUCUAUGCGCUUAACGUAUAGGCCGCCGAAAAUACUGUGCAGCUAGGGAGUGGGAGAGGUACACGGUACUCGAUAGGAAGGGGUAAAAUCCUUUGAUCUAUUGAAGACCACCUGUGGCGAAGGCGGUGUACCAGAACACGUUCGACGGUGAGGGAUGAAAGCUGGGGGAGCAAACCGGAUUAGAUACCCGGGUAGUCCCAGCUGUAAACGAUGCAGACUCGGUGAUGCAUUGGCUUGUGGCCAAUGCAGUGCCGCAGGGAAGCCAUUAAGUCUGCCGCCUGGGNGUACGUACGCAAGUAUGAAACUAAAGGAAUUGGCGGGGGAGCACCACAAGGGAUGAAGCUGCGGUUCAUUGGAUUCAACGCUGA